AGUGAACGCUGGCGGUAGGCCUAACACAUGCAAGUCGAACGGCAGCACAGUAAGAGCUUGCUCUUACGGGUGGCGAGUGGCGGACGGGUGAGGAAUACAUCGGAAUCUACUUUUUCGUGGGGGAUAACGUAGGGAAACUUACGCUAAUACCGCAUACGACCUACGGGUGAAAGCAGGGGAUCUUCGGACCUUGCGCGAUUGAAUGAGCCGAUGUCGGAUUAGCUAGUUGGCGGGGUAAAGGCCCACCAAGGCGACGAUCCGUGGCUGGUCUGAGAGGAUGAUCAGCCACACUGGAACUGAGACACGGUCCAGACUCCUACGGGAGGCAGCAGUGGGGAAUAUUGGACAAUGGGCGCAAGCCUGAUCCAGCCAUACCGCGUGGGUGAAGAAGGCCUUCGGGUUGUAAAGCCCUUUUGUUGGGAAAGAAAAGCAGCAGGUUAAUACCCCGCUGUUCCGACGGUACCCAAAGAAUAAGCACCGGCUAACUUCGUG
rnacentral:rRNA from 1 species